rnacentral:piRNA from 1 species
UAAAAGAAAGGCCCUUCCUCCUUCCUUGC